ACUGCUCGGAUUAUAGUGGGUUGGCUUGGUCUGAAAGUCACCUCAGCAGUGCCACUGCAGGAUCUUGGAAAGAACCCACAACAGGACACGUGAGCCGACUGUGGCCAGCAUGGAUGUGCUGGACUCAGCCAAGUGUGUCUCGCAGUUCAGCAAGUGGGAAGUCUUCCUUCAGCAGGAUGAGCUCUGUGACUGAGCCUUUUGAAUAUUUUUCAUAUCAAAUAUAAAGCUGGCUACAUAAAAGCAUUUGAUGAAAGUUUGCUCAAGACAAAAUGGGAUCGUUUCCUUCAUUUUGAGUCACACAUUCUACAUUAGGCCUGGAGCCCCCAGCCCAGGGAGCCACGUGGGACCAGGCCCUGGAACUCAGCCUGGCCCGGGUCAGGAGUCUCUCUGAAGAAGAGUUUGCCACGGCCUCAAACCAAGGGAACUGGUGGCAGCAGCCAAGGACAAGUGGGCUCGGUGUUUCCCUGUUUGACAAGAAAAUAAAACACUGCGAGAGCUUUUCCAACACUGCUUUGUGAGACUGGGUUCGGCAAAGACUGGCCAAGGUGAGGCUUAGCAGAACGGAGAACUCGGAUUCCUCCACCAGCCCCCCAUGUAGGACCGGACAGGAGUGCAGGUCAUCUCCCCAACUUUCCUUAGCUGGCCGCACUCAGCAAGCCUGGUGGCAGGUCCUGCCCCUGACCCUGGUGAGUACACUGUUAGGCAGCAGCUUUGUGCCAGCUGCCAGUGUGCCAAGCUGUGAUGGUUUAUUAAAUCUAUCAUCUCCAUCAGUGUAAGCAGACCAUGAAUUUUAAAGGCCAGAAGUAAAACUCCUCUUCCUGGAGAAACAUUGAGCUGAAACAGGACGACUGGGGGAGAGCUGUAAUGUAAGACUGUGCUACGUAUACAAUGCUGUAAGGUUAAAUGGCUUUCUGCUCUCUGCUUUUCGUCUGAUAGGCUGACCCUGUGUGAUUUCAUCUGAUGUUGUGCAUUUUCCAUCAUUAAACUGGAUAAAAGGUCACUUCUUUGUUGUCCUGAGACUUGAUGAAAUUACUUCAUUUUAGUUUUGCUCUUUAAGCUACUUCUUUUGGGGAGCAAUUUAUUUUCAUUUCUAUUUAUUAUUAUUGAGCUGAAUUUACAUAUAAGAUAAUGAGCUUUGCUAAUGUACACACUCAUGUAACUACUACCAUAUUCAAGACAUAGAAUAUCCUUAUUACUUCAGAAAGUUGGCUAGGGUCCCUUUCCAGUUAUUCCCAGCAACAUCCAUCCCCUGCAUGGUAACCACUGCUGUGAUUUCAAAGGCUAUAGUUUUGUCUGUUCUUGACAUUCAUAUUAAUAGAAGCACACUAUAUGUAGUCUCAGGUGUCUGAUUCAUUUGCAUAACAAAUUUGUAAUAUCCAUCCAUUGAGGCAUGUGUUUGUUCAUUUGUGUACCAAGUUAUGUUCCACUAUAGAAGCACAAUUUCUAUACUCAUUCUCCUGUUGUCAGACAUUUGGUGCAGUGUUGUGAAUAAAGUUGCUAUCAAGAUUCUUGUGUAAGUCUUUCUGUGGGUUAUGUUUGCAUUUCUCUCAGGUAGGAGUAGAAUCACAGGUGAAAAGGUAGAGGUGUGUUUAACACAAUAAGGAACUACCAAAGAGUUUCCCGAAGCAGUUACAACAUGGAUGGCAGCCCUCGUAAUAGAUGGGAGUCGCAUUUUACUAUGGAUGAAUUUCCAUUUUCCAGAUGAUGCUAUCA